rnacentral:rRNA from 1 species
AUUGAACGCUGGCGGCAGGCUUAACACAUGCAAGUCGAGCGAGCGGCUGACGGGUGAGUAAUGUCUGGGAAACUGCCUGAUGGAGGGGGAUAACUACUGGAAACGGUAGCUAAUACCGCAUACCAUCAGAUGUGCCCAGAUGGGAUUAGCUAGUCGGUGGGGUAAUGUCUCACCUAGGCGCCGAUCCCUAGCUGGUCUGAGAGGAUGACCAGCCACACUGGAACUGAGACACGGUCCAGACUCCUACGGGAGGCAGCAGUGGGUAAGAUUGCACAAUGGGCGCAAGCCUGAGGCAGCCAUGCCGCGUGGGUGAAGAAGGCCUUCGGGUGGUAAAGCACUUGCAGCGAGGAGGCGUUACUCGCAGAAGAAGCACCGGCUGACGCCGUGACAGCCGCCGCGGUAAUUC